rnacentral:rRNA from 1 species
UGGGGAAUCUUGCGCAAUGGGCGAAAGCCUGACGCAGCCAUGCCGCGUGAAUGAUGAAGGUCUUAGGAUUGUAAAAUUCUUUCACCGGGGACGAUAAUGACGGUACCCGGAGAAGAAGCCCCGGCUAACUUCGUGCCAGCAGCCGCGGUAAUACGAAGGGGGCUAGCGUUGCUCGGAAUUACUGGGCGUAAAGGGAGCGUAGGCGGACUGUUAAGUUAGAGGUGAAAGCCCAGGGCUCAACCUUGGAAGUGCCUUUGAUACUGGCAGUCUUGAGUACGGAAGAGGUAUGUGGAACUCCGAGUGUAGAGGUGAAAUUCGUAGAUAUUCGGAAGAACACCAGUGGCGAAGGCGACAUACUGGUCCGUUACUGACGCUGAGGCUCGAAAGCGUGGGGAGCAAACA